UGCAGUCGANCGGCAGCACGGAGCUUGCUCUGGUGGCGAGUGGCGAACGGGUGAGUAAUGCGUCGGAACGUAUCCAAUAAUGGGGGAUAACGCAGCGAGAGCUGUGCUAAUACCGCAUACGCCCUCCGGGGGAAAGCAGGGGAUCGUAAGACCUUGCGUUAAUGGAGCGGCCGACGUCUGAUUAGCUAGUUGGUAGGGUAAAGGCCUACCAAGGCGACGAUCAGUAGCUGGUCUGAGAGGAUGAUCAGCCACACUGGGACUGAGACACGGCCCAGACUCCUACGGGAGGCAGCAGUGGGGAAUUUUGGACAAUGGGCGCAAGCCUGAUCCAGCCAUUCCGCGUGAGUGAAGAAGGCCUUCGGGUUGUAAAGCUCUUUCAGGAGGGAAGAAACGAUUGUGGCUAAUACCCAUGAUUAAUGACGGUACCUUCAGAAGAAGCACCGGCUAACUACGUGCCAGCAGCCGCGGUAAUACGUAGGGUGCGAGCGUUAAUCGGAAUUACUGGGCGUAAAGCGUGCGCAGGCGGUUUUUCAAGUCUGAUGUGAAAUCCCCGGGCUUAACCUGGGAACUGCGUUGGAAACUGAAAGACUAGAGUGCGGCAGAGGGGGGUAGAAUUCCACGUGUAGCAGUGAAAUGCGUAGAUAUGUGGAGGAAUACCGAUGGCGAAGGCAGCCCCCUGGGUCGACACUGACGCUCAUGCACGAAAGCGUGGGUAGCAAACAGGAUUAGAUACCCUGGUAGUCCACGCCCUAAACGAUGUCAACUAGUUGUUGGGGAGGGAGACCUCCUUAGUAACGCAGCUAACGCGUGAAGUUGACCGCCUGGGGAGUANGGUCGCAAGAUUAAAACUCAAAGGAAUUGANGGGGGCCCGCACAAGCGGUGGAUUAUGUG
rnacentral:rRNA from 1 species